rnacentral:rRNA from 1 species
UACGUAGGGUGCGAGCGUUGUCCGGAAUUAUUGGGCGUAAAGGGCUCGUAGGCGGUCUGUCACGUCGGGAGUGAAAACUCAGGGCUUAACCCUGAGCCUGCUUCCGAUACGGGCAGACUAGAGGUAUGCAGGGGAGAAUGGAAUUCCUGGUGUAGCGGUGGAAUGCGCAGAUAUCAGGAGGAACACCGGUGGCGAAGGCGGGUCUCUGGGCAGUAACUGACGCUGAGGAGCGAAAGCGUGGGGAGCGAACAGG